rnacentral:lncRNA from 1 species
CAUUUCAAAGAUCAUGCGUAGACUAAUCCCGUCUUCUUGGAUGUUCUGUGUGUUUCGAGCUGCAGAUCGGGCUCGACCACGGUUGCUAUUUUCAGGGCCGGUCUGCAAGUUCGCGUCGAUAGCCACAUGUGAAUUUAUAUCUAUUGGAUCUGUAGUCUGAAUCCCAACGACAUCAGCGGGUGGCCCAGCAUUAACGGGCGCCAUGUCGUUAUUCUCACCUUGAUGACCAGUCUCGUUGUCGAUAUGUAGAGGUUCCAGUUGAGAGUUUGCCAUUUUCGGCCUGAGAUCAAAGAUACUUCAAAGAGAAAGUGUAAAGUAGUGUGUGUUAUGAAGGUUUGUACCAAAUAACCACUAUUAUCCUUAGCCCAACGGUGGACGCCAAACUGUUUACCCCAAAAAUCGGAUAACAAUUGAAUUUAUACGUGAUUUUAAGGAUACGUGAUCUAACUUGAUACAAAAUGAGAAAUCAGUUUUAAUAUGGAAGAAUAAGUAGAAAAAUAAAUACAAACCAUGCGGAUUGAAAAACUUAAGCCUCGCAAGAUUAAGUUCCUUCGAUGUGAUAUUAGUGAAGCAAGAAUAAUAUGAACAAAACUGAAAAAAAUGGUAUCUUGUUAUCUUAAGUAUGUCACAAUGUCCUCUCUGAAUUACUCCAUUCCUUCUAUAUAUAUGGGGAGAUAAAUCUUUAAGACAUUAUUUUAUAAGAAAUUAUGUAGACCGUUGGCUCCCCUUUUUGACUAAAUUCCGUAAUUUUCGCCAUAAUGAUUGGUCAAUGGCGAGAAUCACGAAUACUUAUCGUGUGAGUGGGGUAAAGCUUUUCCCCGAGGCCUUUAGAAGCAGGAUUGGUGGUGCCUUCGGUAAACUCCAGGGCGAGUAUGAUGGUUUUGUUGAACUUCUACCCUCGAUGUCAAGCUUAGUUAUAUCGGUAACUUCGAUCUCUUACGUAAAUGUCGAGCCUGAAACCAUUAUUCCAGAUGCCUCGAUCGAGUAUUGAGCUCGAUUCUACUCGUAUACUUACGUAUUAUUUUAUUUCGACUGUCUAAUUAAUAUUGGAUUGAAUCUAUUGCUUUUAGCCCGUUACUUUAUCUUAUAACCGCAUUCUGGGUUAAACAGCAAUUUCUUAAAAUUCAUCUGUAUGUUGACUUGUCCUACGAGAAAGCGAAGAAGUUAAACAAGUUAGAGUCGAAUUAUUCUAUUCAUAUCAUUCCAUUCAACCUCAUAAUAUUAGUUAAUUAGCUCGCUAAAUACCAAAACAAAAAAAAAAAAAAAGGCAAUACUUUUUGAACAUGUCUUCCGAGUAAGAACCAGAUAAAGAUGUGAAUAACCACACGCCACUAAUUGAUUUAUCGGCGUGAAACCAACAAGAAAUGUUGCUCUCAAUGCUAAAGUUGAUGCUAUGUUUUAAUUAACCUACAUUAUUGUAAAGCAUAUUAUAUAUGCCAUUUUAUAUCGUUAUCUGAUGAGUCAGCGGAUGUCUUUGUCCCUAUUACAAUAUUACUCAAUAAGGAUGGUUGAUGACUUAAUGUUUGAUAGCUUAGAAAAACAUCUUCUUGAGGGAUCCCUCCAAAUUUUGUAUAAUUUUGUCACGGAUCCAAAUUAUACAUUCUUACAUAUGCUAAAAUUUGAUUGUGACAAAUGACACCCCAGUGAUAAAGCUGAAUAGGCCUUUAUUAGCUGAGAAUAUCGUGUAUAUGACGCUGUGCGUUUAUAACUCAAAUAGUCCUUGAAAUUUGAGGCGGCUGUAUCUACGUCCCUAGUAUAUCGUCUUAAGCAUAUAUGGUCUUUUGAGUUUGGAAAAUCUAAGUACUUUUGGUCCAACUGACGAGACAUCCAAACAGGCCAUUAAAACUAACAGAAAUAUCACUUGCUUUCCCUGUGACUAUAGUUUAAAAAAAAUGAUACUGAUAAAAAUUGUUCUUUCCAAAUUUCAUUUUUUUUUUCUCUAAUUGAAGCAUUAGUUGUACAAAAAUCGAAAAGUCCAUGGCCCAAAAAAAAAAAAAAAUGUAUCUGUCAAGAGCGAACAUAAACUGCGAUGGGGCAAGAUUUAAAUUGGCCAAGAAUACCAUAAUAUUGAUCGUUAUUUGGCUUGGACACGUCAAAACGUAGUUGACAUUUUCUCCAGUUUCAAAUGCUUUUUAGGUGUUUCAUCAGUUGGACCAAAAAUGUCCACUUCUGUAAAUUUAACGAAUCAUAUGUGCUCAAUGUAAUAUAAUAGAGUUGAACACAGGCUCACCCCAAACUUAAGGGGCUAUUUGAAUUUAAAACUAUGAUACUGUACAACAAAUGGACAACAUAUCUUUGAAAAGCCAUAAUUGAGCUAGGAUUUAUAUCAAGAAAAAAAGUUUCGAAAUAAGUUGGCUCGACGCUGUUAUGGAUUUUAGAAAAAAUAUGCCAGCAGCAAGAAGGUUGAAAAAAGGAUUGAAAAAUUAUCUCUAAAAUUUUAUUAAUCAUAGGGUUUUAAAUAGCCAAAUAAAUAAAGUAAUAGAUUCCUCCUACAACUAAAUUACUAAACUCUUACUAUAAUUAAAAUUCUGAAUCUUCUAGCAAACUCCUCCUAAAACUAAACAACUAAUUAUUCUAGAAAACAGUAGCAGUAACAAAUACAAAAUCCAACACUCCUCUUUGCUUCUGUUGCUGCAGUCUAAAGAAGGUCAUCCUCAAUUCUUUCUUCUGCUAUUAGUGCUUGUGCAUGAGCAUCUUUGAACUUGCACACUUUUGUAACAUGACCUUUUUAUUUGCAAUUUCCACAUAAUGCAUCAGGUCUCCACCAACAAAAAUCUUCUAAGUGUGUUUUCUUUUUGCAAUAUUUGCAAUAAGGAUAAUCGACUUUUUCUUUUUGGUGUUUCGCAUAAAAAAUACCCUCAGUAACUUUGUCUUGUCUGAAGGCCCUUCUUUGCUCUUGUGCUUGAAGAGCACUUAUUAAUUCUGCAAUAGAGAUGGUAGAGAGAUCUUUAGACUCUUCCAGAGAGAAAAUUUUGGAUUCAAAUCUCUCGGGAAUUAUCACAAGAAUUUUUUCAACUAUCCCGUCAUCUUUGCAAUCCUCGCCAAGUAACCUGAUUUUAUUGACAAUUAAAGAAAUUCGGUCAAAAUACUUAGCGAUGGUCUCAUCAUCUUGCAUUCUAAGAGAUUCAAAAUCUCUUUUCAAAUUUAAAAUCUGAUUUUGUCUGCCUCGUUCACUUUCUUGAUACUCCUGUUUGAGUGUUUNNNNNNNNNNNNNNNNNNNNNNNNNAAUUAUUUUUCAGCGAAUUCAGAGAUCCGUCAAGAUCAAUGGAGGCUCUGAUACUACUAUUAUAGAUUUUAGAAAAAAUAUGCAAGCAGCAAGAAGGUUGAAAAUAGGAUUGAAAAAUUGUCUCUAAAAUUUUAUUAAUCAUAGGGCUUUAAAUAGCCAAAUAAAUAAAGUAGUAGACUCCUCCUAUAACUAAAUUACUAAACUCUUACUAUAAUUAAAAUUCUGAAUUUUCUAGUAGACUCCUCCUAAAACUAAACAACUAAUUAUUCUAGAAAAUAGUAAUAGUAACAUAUGCAAAAUCCAAUAUGACGAUGAGGCAUCAUUCCACCAAAAAGAUAGUUUACACUUGUCUUCUUCUCAUGUGGGAAAAGACAGUAAAAUUCUCCGCUUUGUUUUUUAACUUUAGGGGAUAUUAGCCGCAAGGGUAUAUUAGAAUUGAAAGAUUUGUUCAGGAAAUAGUAAGGUAGAGAAGAAAAAAAGAGAGAAAUUGAUGAAAAGAAUAAAGAAGCAGAAGAAUAACAUAUAUAAUUGGACUAGUAAGAUCUGAAAAUUCGUGAUUUUUUUAUUAAGGUCUAGCAAGUUGCGUAACCAAAGUUAUAAAUUUUAUAAUAAAUGUGAUAAAAAACAUGUGAGUACCCUUCACUUCCAACCAAGAGGUUGUGAGUUCGAGUCACCCCAAGAGCAAGGUGGGGAGUUCUUGGAGGGAGAGAGCCGAGGGUCUAUCGGAAACAGUCUCUCUACCCCAAGGUAGGGGUAAGGUCUGCGUACACACUACUCUCUCCAUACCCCACUAGUGGGAUUAUACUGGGUUAUUGUUGUUGUUUGAAAUUUUUGAAGUUUGGUUCUAUAGAUAUUUUGUUUUCUUUUAGUCACUAUUUCAACCAUAUUUAUCACUUGGGAUCAUGGAAGCUCAUUGGUGAUUUUCAAAAUUUUUACCCUCUUACGACGACUUGGUUUUUGUUUUACUAUCAUCUGUCAUUUUUUGAGGGGAACAACAAUUUUGACUCUAAACCUUAUUUUUAUAACAACGCUAACUAAGUCUCAAUCUCAAAUUGUUGGAGAUAUUCACAAUACUAUUUAACUCUAUAUAUAUCCGUAACAAUUGGUUCUUAAUCAGGCUCUUUACUUUUAUAAGGUAAGGAUAAUAUAUGUAUACACAAUAUCUUCCCCAGACCCUAUCUGUGAAUUAUACUAGGUUUAUUUUUUGUUGUUGUUGUUAUACCUGUAACAAAUGAAUAGAACAAGAAUAUCAUAAUUCCACCUUUCAUUUCCAUAUAUCAAUAUUAUUAUAUUUCCUACCAUGUAUAGUUUCUGGUAUAUUAUCAACUAGUGGUGAGGAUCAUCAAGAUUGAACCUUGUUGCUCGAAACAAAAAUAAAAAUAAAAAUAAAGAACCUAGAAGUGAAUCAAAUUAUAUCCAUGCUUUGUAUGUAAUGACAAUAAAUUUAAUAGAAGCAUUAAAUAAUCACAAGUUCAUACAGUGCGUGUUAAAGACAAUUACAAAGCCAUAAUCGUCACUAUCGGCUUAAAUAUCAUACACUUGUUUGCCUGUAAACUUGACUUCAAUUGGGCUCUUAUUCUUACCAAUGGAUCUAAAAUUCUGCCCAACUCCUUGACGGCCCGGGUUCACUUUUUCUGGGUACACACCAUCUUUUGGGUGCAAGUAUUGGACUUCACCGUUAGGGAAAACUCUGUAAAAUCUAUAGUUAAUCUUGUAUUUGGACCUAAGCCUAGUACCAAGUGCCAAGCACUGUUCUUUACGGGCCAAUUUGAGCAAAUUUGGGCCUUCUCUCAUGAUGGCAGCACCACCAGUGGGCAUUUCAAAGAUCUGUUCCUUAGGUGAUUCCCAAGUGAUCACAUAAAACUCCUCAACUUGGGCCUUACGAAGAAGCCCACCAGUGCUUCCACCAAAGAUAGGAGAUGGGGUGCUUGGGUCCAAUUGUGGUGGUGUGAAGCCCACUGGUGCUGCUGGCUCGGCCUCUUUGGUGGCCGAUUGGGCCUUCUCAUCUGCCAUAGCCUUGAUAGGACGGUAUGUCACCGCGGACUUAGAUGGUUUAGGGGCGGAGAAGGAAGAAACGGAUUGCUUCCAAAGGGCGGCUGUUUUCGGGCCAGAGAUAGAUGAGGUGAAAAGGGAAGCUUGGGAUGCCAUGGCCAUAGAAAAGUUGGAUUGAGAGAAGUGACAAGGAAGAAGCUAUUUGUUUUGUUGUUGCAUAGAAG